rnacentral:rRNA from 1 species
UGCAGUCGAGCGAAUGGAUUGAGAGCUUGCUCUCAAGAAGUUAGCGGCGGACGGGUGAGUAACACGUGGGUAACCUGCCCAUAAGACUGGGAUAACUCCGGGAAACCGGGGCUAAUACCGGAUAACAUUUUGAACUGCAUGGUUCGAAAUUGAAAGGCGGCUUCGGCUGUCACUUAUGGAUGGACCCGCGUCGCAUUAGCUAGUUGGUGAGGUAACGGCUCACCAAGGCAACGAUGCGUAGCCGACCUGAGAGGGUGAUCGGCCACACUGGGACUGAGACACGGCCCAGACUCCUACGGGAGGCAGCAGUAGGGAAUCUUCCGCAAUGGACGAAAGUCUGACGGAGCAACGCCGCGUGAGUGAUGAAGGCUUUCGGGUCGUAAAACUCUGUUGUUAGGGAAGAACAAGUGCUAGUUGAAUAAGCUGGCACCUUGACGGUACCUAACCAGAAAGCCACGGCUAACUACGUGCCAGCAGCCGCGGUAAUACGUAGGUGGCAAGCGUUAUCCGGAAUUAUUGGGCGUAAAGCGCGCGCAGGUGGUUUCUUAAGUCUGAUGUGAAAGCCCACGGCUCAACCGUGGAGGGUCAUUGGAAACUGGGAGACUUGAGUGCAGAAGAGGAAAGUGGAAUUCCAUGUGUAGCGGUGAAAUGCGUAGAGAUAUGGAGGAACACCAGUGGCGAAAGCGACUUUCUGGUCUGUAACUGACACUGAGCGCG